GACGAACGCUGGCGGCGUGCCUAAUACAUGCCAGUAGAACGCUGAAGAGAGGAGCUUGCUCUUCUUGGAUGAGUUGCGAACGGGUGAGUAACGCGUAGGUAACCUGCCUUGUAGCGGGGGAUAACUAUUGGAAACGAUAGCUAAUACCGCAUAACAAUGGAUGACACAUGUCAUUUAUUUGAAAGGGGCAAUUGCUCCACUACAAGAUGGACCUGCGUUGUAUUAGCUAGUAGGUGAGGUAACGGCUCACCUAGGCGACGAUACAUAGCCGACCUGAGAGGGUGCACGGCCACGCUGGGACUGAGACACGGCCCAGACUCCUACGGGAGGCAGCAGUAGGGAAUCUUCGGCAAUGGGGGCAACCCUGACCGAGCAACGCCGCGUGAGUGAAGAAGGUUUUCGGAUCGUAAAGCUCUGUUGUAAGUCAAGAACGAGUGUGAGAGUGGAAAGUUCACACUGUGACGGUAGCUUACCAGAAAGGGACGGCUAACUACGUG
rnacentral:rRNA from 1 species